GACGAACGCUGGCGGCGUGCUUAACACAUGCAAGUCGAACGCGCCUGUCCUCUGGGUUUCUGGGGGGUGGGUGAGUGGCGAACGGGUGAGUAACACGUGAGUAACCUGCCCCCUUCUUCGGGAUAACGGUCUGAAAGGGCUGCUAAUACCGGGUAUUCACUGGUCUCCGCAUGGGGUCUGGUGGAAAGGUUUUUUUCUGGUGGGGGAUGGGCUCGCGGCCUAUCAGCUUGUUGGUGGGGUGAUGGCCCACCAAGGCUUUGACGGGUAGCCGGCCUGAGAGGGUGACCGGUAACAUUGGGACUGAGAUACGGCCCAGACGAGUACGGGAGGCAGCAGUGGGGAAUAUUGCAGAAUGGGCGCAAGCCUGAUGCAGCGACGCCGCGUGAGGGAUGGGGGCCUUCGGGUUGUGAACCUCUUUCGCCCGUGGUCAAGCCGCGACGUGGGUCGUGGUGAGGGUAGUGGGUAAAGAAGCGCCGGCUAACUACGUG
rnacentral:rRNA from 1 species